rnacentral:rRNA from 1 species
UCAAGCGAACAAGGGCGCAGGGCGAAUGCCUUGGCACUGGGAGCCGAUGAAAGACGUGAUAAGCUGCGAUAAGCUUCGGGGAGCUGCAAAUAAGCAUUGAUCCGGAGAUUUCUGAAUGAGGAAACUCACCUGGGUUCAUACUCAGGUACGUUGUACUGAAAUUCAAAAUAGGUACAUCGGGGGAACCGCCUGAACUGAAACAUCUAAGUAGGGCGAGGAAGAGACAUCAAACGAGAUUCCGUAAGUAGUGGCGAGCGAACGCGGAAGAGGGCAAACCGGAGGUAGAAAUACCUUCGGGGUACGGACUGCUUUUAGGACUCGAUCUGUUAACCGAACGGCAUGGGAAGGCCGGUCAGAGAGUGUGAGAACCACGUAGGUGAAAACGGAAAGAGCUGCGCAGAAUCCAGAGUACGGCCAGACACGUGAAACCUGGUCGGAAGAUGGGGGGACCACCCUCCAACCCUAAAUACUACCCAGUGACCGAUAGCGUAUAGUACUGUGAAGGAAAGGUGAAAAGCACCCCGGGAGGGGAGUGAAAAAGAACCUGAAACCCUGUGCCUACAAGCACCUAGAGCACGUCAAAGUGUGAUAGGGUACUUUUUGUAGAACGGUCCGGCGAGCGAUUGUAUGCAGCAAGGUUAAGGACUUAAGGUCUGGAGCCGAAGCGAAAGCGAGUUUGAAAAGGGCGUUAAGUUGCAUAUAAUGGGCCCGAAACCGGGUGACCUACCCAUGGUCAGGUUGAAGUGGAAGUAAAAUUCCAUGGAGGACCGAACCGACCUCCGUUGAAAAGGCGGCGGAUGAACUGUGGGUAGCGGAGAAAUUCCAAUCGAACCCGGAGAUAGCUGGUUCUCCCCGAAAUAGUUUUAGGACUAGCCUCAAGUUAGAUACCUGGAGGUAAAGCACUGAAUAGCCUAGCGGCCGAGAGGUUAGCGAAGCUUAUCAAACUCAGAAUGCCAGAGUAUUGAUGCUUGGGAGUCAGACAGUGUCAGAUAAAUGUCAUUGUCAAAAGGGAAACAGCCCAGAUCUACAGCUAAGGUCCCAAAGUCAGGUUAAGUGGAAAACGAUGUGAAGAUACGCAGACAACCAGGAUGUUGGCUCAGAAGCAGCCACUCAUUCAAAGAGUGCGUAAUAGCUCACUGGUCGAGCGUCUUUGCGCGGAGAAUUUAACGGGGCUAAACCUGACACCGAAGCUUAGGCAAUCCAGCAAUGGAUUGGGUAGGGGAGCGUUGUAUACGCGGAGAAACAGUAGCGUAAGCGGCUGUGGAGUGUAUAGAAGUGAGAAUGCCGGAAUGAGUAGCGCGAAUGCAGUGAGAAUCUGCAUGGCCGAAAGCCUCAGGUUUUUGGAGGAAGGUUCGUCCGCUCCAAGUUAGUCGGGAGCUAAGGUGAGGCCGGAAGGCGUAGCCGAUGCACAGACGGUAGAGAUUCCGUCACCACCAAAAGAGUUAAGCACAGGGACACAUUUGAAGUCUCAGAGCCGGGUGUUGGUUCCGGUAGAGAUCGAGGGAAGUUAGUACCGAAGUCUGGGAUGGAAGAUGGCGAGAAAAGCUGUGUGUAUUUCUGAGGUGCCCGUACCGCAAACCGACACAGGUAGGUAGGAAGAAGAUUCUAAGGCCAACGGGAGAAGGGUUGUUAAGGAACUCGGCAAAUUGACCCCGUAACUUCGGGAGAAGGGGUGCUCCAGAGAUGGAGCCGCAGAGAAUCGGCCCAAGCAACUGUUUACCAAAAACACAGGUUUGUGCUAAAUCGAAAGAUGACGUAUACGAGCUGACGCCUGCCCGGUGCUGGAAGGUUAAGAGGAGAUGUGCAAGCAUUGAAUCGAAGCCCCAGUGAACGGCGGCCGUAACUAUAACGGUCCUAAGGUAGCGAAAUUCCUUGUCAGGUAAG